rnacentral:tRNA from 1 species
CUUUCCAUAGCUCAUCGGUAGAGCGAUCGAAAAGAAUCGAUUGGUUGCGGGUUCGACUCCCGCUGGAAAAC